rnacentral:rRNA from 1 species
GACGAACGCUGGCGGCGUGCUUAACACAUGCAAGUCGAACGGAAAGGCCCUGCUUUUGUGGUGUGCUCGAGUGGCGAACGGGUGAGUAACACGUGAGUAACCUGCCCUUGACUUUGGGAUAACUUCAGGAAACUGGGGCUAAUACCGGAUAGGAGCUCCUGCUGCAUGGUGGGGGUUGGAAAGGUUCGGCGGUUGGGGAUGGACGCGCGGCUUAUCAGCUUGUUGGUGGGGUAGUGGCUGACCAAGGGUUUGACGGGUAGCCGGCCUGGGAGGGUGACCGGCGACCUGGGUCCUGAGGGACGGACCAGACGGCUACGGGAGGCAGCAGUGGGGAGUAUGGCACAGUGGGCGGAAGCCUGAGGAAGAAGCGCCGCGUGCGGAAUGACGGCCUUCGGGUGGUAAACCGCUUUCGCCUGUGACGAAGCGUGAUUGACGGUAAUGGGUAAAGAAGCACCGGCUAACUACGUG